rnacentral:lncRNA from 10 species
UGUCUCUUGACCAAUAAAUACUAAAACUUUCCAGCUAUUGUAGGUUUCUAAUAUGUUUUUGUAUCUGGUAGGGCAAGUCUCCUAUUGUUCUCUUUUUCAAAAGAUUCUCAGGCAUUCUUACAUUCACACUUUUUCUCUUCCAGAACUCUAGAAUCAGCUUAUUAUGUUAUAAAAUUGGUCUGGCUGUGUCUGCAGCCAUUUUUCCUUCACACCUGCUGAUGGGUGUCGGUCCUUUCUGUUAACAAACCACCUGAUGAGAUCGAAAUGCUCCAGCCAGCUGUGUUGCUGGAAGCUGCUUUUAAAUCUGCUCAGCUAGAAAGUCCUCAGAGACUAUGCUUUGUUCACUUUGCCCCCCAACAUCAGUAUAUGACCCAUCCCUAUCCGAUGCUUGUUCAACAUAAAUGUCAUCAAUGGAUGUCUACAACAGCAGAGAGCUUAUAAGACUUCCACUCUUGCUUGAGCAAUUGGCUUUACCUCUAGAUAGCUGGAUUUCUCAUGAAUAAUACACAACGGUUGUACGGGUUCUGCCUACCUCACAGGGUGAUUCUGACACCAAAUGAUGCCAUGGGUGUGAUGGGCUGGCAGAGUUUUAAAGAAUUCCACCGUGCCCGGCCCACACUGCUUUCUUAAGCAAGAUCUCAUU